rnacentral:sRNA from 1 species
AGUUUCUCCAAAUGUUGAGGACAUUGGGAAUAGCAGGAGUAGUCAAUUUAAGAAGAAGGCAGUGUCACUAAAGUUGGUAUUCAACCCCCCACUGCUAAAUUUGACUGGCUUAAA